rnacentral:sRNA from 1 species
GCUGGGCAUGGUGGUACAUGCCUGUAAUCCCAGCUACUCAGGAGGCUCUGGCAGGAAGAUUGCAAGUUUAAGGCCAGCCUUGGCAAUUUAGUGAGAUCCUGUCUC